rnacentral:misc_RNA from 1 species
GGACUACUAGGGUAUCUAAUCCCGUUCGCUCCCCUGGCUUUCGUUCCUCAGCGUCAGGUAAGACCCAGAAAGCCGCCUUCGCCACCGGUGUUCCUGAUGAUAUCAACGCAUUUCACCGCUCCACCAUCAGUUCCGCUUUCCUCUAUCUCCCUCGAGUCUGGUAGUUUCAAGCGCAGUUCCUCGGUUGAGCCGAGGGAUUUCACACCCAACUUUCCAGACCGCCUACGAACUCUGUAAGCCCAGUGAUUCCGAAUAACGUUUGGACGGUUCGUCUUACCGCGGCUGCUGGCACG